CGGAGACAUGCUGGGAAAAGACGAGAAAGCCUGGAGGAAUUCAUUUAUUUUUUAGAGAUUGUUCCGUUGUAGCUCAGGAAACGUAAUGGGGAGAAUGGAUACGAAAGAAGACAAGACGAGAAGAGAAAAGGGGCUGUGUGUACUGCAGGACUGUUGCUUUGGAGCGUGCAUGUUGUUCUCCAGGAAGCUCCGAGCAUUGGUGAUCAGUUUCACAAUUUACACUGGGCAGACGACAAAACAGGAGAAAAUUAAGAUGAAACAGAUCGCACAGCAGUCGGUCUACACAUGAAGAUGAAAUGAAAAUUCAUCCCAUCCCUCAAGAUCAAAG